UACGUAGGGUGCGAGCGUUGUCCGGAAUUAUUGGGCGUAAAGAGCUCGUAGGCGGCUUGUCGCGUCGGAUGUGAAAGCCCGGGGCUUAACUCCGGGUCUGCAUUCGAUACGGGCAGGCUAGAGUUCGGUAGGGGAGAUCGGAAUUCCUGGUGUAGUGGUGAAAUGCGCAGAUAUCAGGAGGAACACCGGUGGCGAAGGCGGAUCUCUGGGCCGAUACUGACGCUGAGGAGCGAAAGCGUGGGGAGCGAACAGG
rnacentral:rRNA from 1 species